UACGUAGGGACCAAGCGUUGUUCGGAUUUACUGGGCGUAAAGGGCGCGUAGGCGGCGUGACAAGUUACUUGUGAAAUCUCUGAGCUUAACUCAGAACGGCCAAGUGAAACUGUUGUGCUAGAGUGCAGAAGGGGCAAUCGGAAUUCUUGGUGUAGCGGUGAAAUGCGUAGAUAUCAAGAGGAACACCUGAGGUGAAGACGGGUUGCUGGGCUGACACUGACGCUGAUGCGCGAAAGCCAGGGGAGCAAACGGG
rnacentral:rRNA from 1 species